AGGAAUUUAUGUAUAGGUUAGGGGGGUUGCCCCUCCAUCAGAUGUCAUGCACAUGCAGCCCACUACCAAAAUCAGCACAGCCACUUUUGUGACUUGUACCCACAAAGCACUUCAUCACAGUUUCUUCCUAUCUACUCAAAGGGCCUCUGCUGCACGAUACCAAAUGUAAGAAUUCACUGCUAAAUGUAUCUAUGUACUGGCUCACUGGGAAAACUUCAAAAAUUCCUAUAGACCUGUGAGCUCAGCUCCUCAGCAGCCCCUCUGCCUGAGUGAUAAUCCCUGGCCUCCUGAUACCUGAGUGCCAGACAGGUAGCCAUGCCAGGAAUAACAAACCCAGAUGAAGACAAAAGGGUGCGAUUAACUUGGCUGGGAAACAGGGAAAUGUAUAUAUCUCUUUUGUUCCACUUGAGGGAUGUUUGGUGGAGGGCAAGGGGAACCAUGGGGCAGGGUCCAGGAUGCUCAGAUUCCUGCCACCAGACCUCCCCUUUCAUGAUGUAACCAUGAUGUAUUAGUGAUGUAGAUUUGGGAGGGUGUAACAUGGGAAUUAAAAGUUUGGGUUCUCUUUUGUUUGGGGCUUCCAUCUUGUUCCACCUGGUGGCAGGUGGGAGUCCUGUCACGACAGUCUUCAAUCAAGACCAAGCCUACUAGCUCCUGUUUUGCUCUAGUA